GACGAACGCUGGCGGCGUGCUUAACACAUGCAAGUCGAACGGAAAGGCCUUUUCGGAGGUACUCGAGUGGCGAACGGGUGAGUAACACGUGGGUGAUCUGCCCUGCACUCUGGGAUAAGCCUGGGAAACUGGGUCUAAUACCGGAUAGGACCGCCCUUUAGUGUGUGUGGUGGAAAGUUUUUUCGGUGUAGGAUGAGCCCGCGGCCUAUCAGCUUGUUGGUGGGGUAAUGGCAUACCAAGGCGGCGACGGGUAGCCGGACUGAGAGGUUGGUCGGACACAUUGGGACUGAGAUACGGCCCAGACGCCUACGGGAGGCAGCAGUGGGGAAUAUUGCACAAUGGGCGCAAGCCUGAUGCAGCGACGCCGCGUGGGGGAUGACGGCCUUCGGGUUGUAAACUCCUUUCGCCAGGGACGAAGCGUUUUGUGACGGUACCUUGAGAAGAAGCACCGGCUAACUACGUG
rnacentral:rRNA from 1 species